GUGAAUAUCGAAUUUUUGAACGCAAAUUGCACUCUCUUCGUAGAGUAUGCCUGUUUGAGGGUCAACCUAAAAAAAAUCGACGUACUCGCUGUUUCGCGGUGACAUUCGUCGGAAAUUGGGUCAUCUUAAACCUUUGGUUUUUUUCAGCGGCUUCAAAUUUUCUUUACGAUUCCUCAAGCUUUUCUAAGCUUUUACUUCUUACACACGUUUAUGGUAUCGAUCUUCCUUCGACUUGUCCGUUGCAUCGUAUCGCGUCCCUACAUAUUUCUUUCA
rnacentral:misc_RNA from 1 species